rnacentral:lncRNA from 1 species
GGAGCCUGGGGCUGUUGUCAUCACUUGAGGUAGCUGCCGGAGCUUCUGCCCCUCCAUUGCGGCAUUUUUCUUUAACUGUGGUAAUUUAUUCUAGCCUUGGAAUUCUUACUGUUAUUAUUCUGCUAUAAAAUUGAGAAGUUCAUGAUGUUAAUAUGCUAGGGUCAAGUUCUGGAAACUGUAUGAUUAAAAUAGAGGCUGUUGCGGUGUCGACCUUCUUCGUUUCUUGUGGUUGCUGCCGCGAGUUAAGACUAAAAAGGGACCCUUGAUGCGUUAACCCUUAAAGGUUUCGACUUUUGAGGUAGGGGCAUUUUUCUUAAACUUGUUUUAUUUUCCAGAGUUGUUAUAAAUCGAUAUUAAUGAGUAAAAUACAUUUUUUGUGAUUUCGUGAGUCUUAUGAAUUGAAUUGAGUUGUUUUGGAUGAAUGAGAUUGUUAGUUCGAUUGAUUGAGUGAUUAAAUGAGGAAGUUGAAUAUUCUAACUAGUUGACUGAUGUGGUUAAAGUGGUUUUCCUCGAAUUAUUGGAAGAGAUUUAGUAAAUUUAAUUUUAGAAACGAUUUGGUUUAGAAAAGAUUGAAUGUUGAAAUCUGAUUUGAACCCGAUUUAAUAUCGGAAUUUGAUUUUAGAACAAAUUUGGAAAAGACUUAAUAUUUGAAAAUGGUUUGUUUAUUGAGAAUGAUUUGCUAUUUUGGAAAAUGAAUCAAAAAGGGUUUGAGGAACGGUUUGGUUUGAAACUGUUUAGAAAAGACUGAGAAUUCUUAAUUAUUGACUGAUUGCUGUUGGUUGAAGUUGAUUAAAAUUGCGAUUUAUAGGAUUGGUUGAUUGAAUUCUAGAUUUUGUAUUUUCCUUGGGUUGAGUGUUGUAAUGGUUGUUGGAAGUGAUUUAACUGGUUAACAGGUGUUUGGUUUGGUUUGGUUGGAACCCGAAAAGGGUGGCAGAAUCCGAGUUUUAGAGGAGAUGCUGCCGAAAUUUUAUAAAAUUGGAAGUUUUAUUUGAAGUAAUUGUUUAAAAAGAUUUAGUUCUUAAACAUUAUAUGUUUAAGAUUGAUUUAUUUAGAAAAUAAAGAAUUAUGUUUUGGAUUGAGAUUGUUGAUUAACGGAAAGAAGGAUGAUGAGGAUUGAUUUGAAAUAUGAUUUUUGAAUGAAUUUGGAAAUGGGAUAUGGAUUGACGAAUGAUGAUAAUAUUGAGAAUGAUUUAGAUAUUGAUGAAUGAUGAAUGAAUUAUUUAUGUUGCUUAUGAAUUUGAAAUAUCUGAGAUACGAGGUUCCCUGGAUUAAGUGCCGUGGCUUGCCACCACGUGUACCAGGUUGAAAACUCGAUACUCUGUUGACCCUACGACGUAAGUGUGACCGGGCACUAUAUAAAUUCCCGGGAAUGUUACCCCCAUUGAGCAAUAUUGAUUAUUUGAGAAAAAGCUAUGCGUAGACUCUUGGGGAUGCACGUCGGGGGACAGUCUAAGGGCAAUUCAGACUUGUCGGGUUGGCUGGAUAACCGACAGAUGAGCCUCAUCAGCCAUAGGACAGGCAUGCAUCAUAUGCAUUUGUAUGCUUUGCUUGGGUUUGAACUUGUUUUGGUUUGCCUAAUUGCUAAACUGUUCUUAACUGCUACUUGAACUAUUUGCUGUAACUGCUACCUACUUGUGCUUUCCUUGUCUGUCUUGCUUGUGUUUGUCCUGGCGUGCUACAUUUGAGAAUGAACUUUGGUGAUGAAUUAAUGACUGUGUUGUCUGAUUGCAUGGUUGGUUUCUGAUUGAGAUUUUCUUAUAAGAAGAAAGGUUUCGGACUUCUGAAAGAUUAAACAUUGUUUCUUUGAAAAAGUUUUGAACGAUUUUCUAUUGGUUUUAAAAGAUUCAUAAGGCAAUGAUAAUCACUGAGUUUGAAAAUAGUUUUCGUAUUAAAUAUCUUCUUAUGACAACUUUGAAACUCCGUGGUGAGACCGUGUGGUUAGGUUCUCACCCCCCUACAGUUUUACCCUUUUCAGGAACCGGAUGAAGAAGCAUUAAGAAGAGUUAUAC